rnacentral:lncRNA from 10 species
CUCCCCCCUCCUUUUUUUCCUUUUUUCCCCACGCUUUCCGCGCGCCGGUUUAAGCAACCAUGAUCUGUGAAUAAACAAAGUCUGUAAACAACCGAAAAAAACAUUCUAGAUCCGAAUUCCAGGAGGGUAAACUUUCCAUGCCACGUCACACUUCAGCAAAUUUGCACAGAUAUUAUAUUGCCUCCCCCCUCCUUUAUUAUUCUUUUUUUUUUUUUUUUGCCAGGAUCCCAUUGUACUUAACUGAAUUUUAUAACGCUGAUCGAUAUCUUGGUAAAAUAUUCAUUUUUAAACUAGCGGGCAGUGAAAUCUUUGCUUUGUGUGCUAAAGUCAACAGUCGCUUGGUUUGAGCUCAAAUAAAUGCGGGGAUGCCUCGGCUCGGAGCAGUCGGCCUCCUCCCUCCGCGAGCUGGACGCUCCGCAGCCCGCCCGCCAGCCGGCCCGCCGGCCGCCGCAGGAAUCCCUGGAUAAAGACCAGCUCAACCAUCGCUGAGAAAACAGACCUAGGCUUCCCAGGGCGGUUAACCCGCCGGCCUCUGGGCAGAGACUACAAAACAAAAUAAAACAACAACAAAAAACUCCCAGUGUGUUUCCUACUCUUCUUUGUCUUGGAGGAAAGCAAAGGGAGAGAAAUGGACUUCACCAGUGGUCUUUGGCUUCAUCAAUUCACAGGAAAUGGCAUCAAGAUGGUUCAACUAAGACAUGAUCACUAAAAACAUUAUAAUAAUACCUUUUUGAAAAACUCAGUUUCUCCUGUUUACUAAAUAUUUAUUUCAUCAACAUGGGCUGCGUUCCACUGUGUCAGGAUUCUGCAUGUGGGUGGAGCACUGUUCCAGCCUGAGAAGAUGGUUCUGAGGCCACUUAGCAAGACAUUUUCCAGCAUGAGCAGGUUUCUCUGUGGAAAUAGUGACACCUGUUCUGGUGUGUUGUCUUUCCUCAGGGAACUUAAGGGGUACAAAGCUCCUGAAAAUGUUCUUUAUGCUGGUUGAAGCUCUUAUGUCGCUGUACUGAUUCCCUACGAUGCAGAUUUGAAUCACAGAGUAAUUAAAAUAUGGAUCAAAUAAGGCUGGGGCUCACCAAGGCUGAAAGCUGUAGCCAUUCAAGGCAUCAUUUCUGUCAUGAAAAUAUAGGACCUUUUCAAAACAUGCCUUCAGGAAGGUGUUCUCUUUUCAAACAAAAGUCUAAUGACUGCAUAACUCUUCUUGACCACAUCUUACACUUUCUCUAGACUUGCUUAUUUACAGCUACUGGAACAAAAAGAUGAAAUGAAUAAAGCACACUGAUUGUCCUAAGAGUCUUCUGUGACUAAAAGCACAUGAGCUUCUCCCCAGGCUGAGCUUUGACCCUCCCAAGCAUUUCCCCAAAGGCCAUGACACUGCAUCAGAUUGCUCCUGGACACUUUCCUCAGAGUUUUCAACAAAUAUAAACUGAGGAGUGGAGCACAGCACCAGAUUUGCUAAUCAAGAGGCAAUGGUCCCAGUCCAAAUGGGUGCUGUGUGUGAAUACAGAGCCCAGGAGAAGGGAAGGAGGUCUGUGAACAUCAGGAAUUGCAAAAUCUUGCUGAACCAAUAGACCAACAGCCAUUAACAUUUGUCAAUGCAAAGAUCCUAAAAUAUACAAGUGUGGAGUUGUCCUGCCCUAAGAGCUGAAGCUGUGACAAUCACGCUGCCAUGAAAAAAACGCUUUCGUAUAUUUUUCCUGCUGGGUGGUCAGAAGGAAAGGCCGUGAAGCUAAAGGUCUCCCACUGAGACGCUGUUCUGCAAGGAGCCGACCUCACGUGCCGCCGCCGCCAGAGAAGAGAGCACCUGUUCAUCUCGGCUCACUGUGAGGCUGAGCUCAGCGCUGGCAGGCGAGGGGCCGCAAGCAUCCCCCACAGCCACCGAGAGGGCAUCCCUGCAGGGAAAUCAUAUCCGACAUGCCUGUGCCCACAGCAGACUUAAGACUGCCUCUAAAAUGUCCAUGAAGCCAUUGUCCAGUAGAGCUGUUAGUUUUAACACCAGUGAGUAUUACCUUUGGUUAAAAGGAUGCAUGUGUAUAGGUGUAUGUGUGUGCGUGUGUGUUUGUGUUUUUGGACUUGUGUGGAGAAUGAAGAAAGGGUUCCAUUUAGGCAUUUGCAAAUAUUCGAUGGCAUCAUGAAAAGACAAAAAAAUCCUAUAAAAUAUAUCAUAUUUUGCUAUGAUUUUGUGUGUACAUGUAAUAAAAUUAUUAAGUAUAAAUUGUUCUGUAUUUCUUUGCAAGCAUAAAUUCUAAAAUUUUGUAUUUAGUACAGAAUAAUUCGUAUCACAUAAUAAGGG